rnacentral:rRNA from 1 species
UACAGAGGUCUCAAGCGUUGUUCGGAUUCAUUGGGCGUAAAGGGUGCGUAGGCGGCGCGGUAAGUCGGGUGUGAAAUCUCGGGGCUUAACUCCGAAACUGCACUCGAUACUGCCGUGCUUGAGGACUGGAGAGGAGACUGGAAUUUACGGUGUAGCGGUGAAAUGCGUAGAUAUCGUAAGGAAGACCAGUGGCGAAGGCGGGUCUCUGGACAGUUCCUGACGCUGAGGCACGAAGGUCAGGGGGAGCAAAACGGGGAUUAG